rnacentral:lncRNA from 1 species
CAGGUACAGUUGGUGACUUGUCGGUGACUUGUUGGUGACUUGUGGUCCUGUUGGUGACUUGGUUCUUCAGAUAAGGGUCUCAGAUGACUUUGGGUUUCAGAUGAAUUGGUGGUUCCGAGUUCAAGCCGAAGCUUUGAUCCUGUGCUCCGAGAUACACAACCAUCCAGUCUUGUCUGCAUCAUUUGCAUCAUAGCAUGUUUAUU